rnacentral:rRNA from 1 species
AAUCAACGCUGGCGGCGUGCCUAACACAUGCAAGUCGCACGAGAAAGGGACUUCGGUCCUGAGUAAAGUGGCGCACGGGUGAGUAACACGUGACUAAUCUACCCUCGAGUGGGGAAUAACCUAGGGAAACCUGGGCUAAUACCGCAUAACACUUACGAGUCAAAGCAGCAAUGCGCUUGGGGAGGAGGUCGCGGCAGAUUAGUUAGUUGGCGGGGUAAUGGCCCACCAAGACGANGAUCUGUAUCCGGCCUGAGAGGGCGCACGGACACACUGGAACUGAAACACGGUCCAGACUCCUACGGGAGGCAGCAGUGGGGAAUUUUGCGCAAUGGGGGAAACCCUGACGCAGCAACGCCGCGUGGAGGACGAAGUCUCUUGGG